rnacentral:pre_miRNA from 1 species
UGAGUACUUCCUUUGUUCGAAAUUACUUGUCGCAGAAAUUGAUGUAUCUAGAUGUAUUUUAGUUCUAGAUAUAUCCAUUUUUGACACAAGUAAUUCCGAACGGAGGGAGUAGAAU